CUGCUCCUGAGGACAGCCCGGGAAGCAUGGGGGCCUCCGACGGGACCCCGCCACUGGCUUUCUGCUACUUGGCCCAUGGCCCAGCCUGACAUGCUGACUGCGGAGGGUCAGUGUUGCAAGGGGACGCCACCAGCCCUCCUGCUGAGGCGUCCAGAACCUGGUCACCACAGUCUUGCUCAGGAAUAACCGCAUGGUCAGCACGUGGCCGGGCACAGCCUCGGACACGCUGGACUUGUCAGCUGGGGGAGCUUUGGAGUCCGGUCUCAGUUAUUGGCCCCUGUGUGGGCCCCCGACACAGGCUGACCGGUCAGAAUCUCCCUCCUGGAAAUCAGACUCGGAACUGGCCACACCUGGAGGCAGAGCCCUUUCCUUCUUCACGAAGAAUAUUAAAGAUUACGUAUUAUGACUGCAUUGGCAUAAAGAUGAAUAGA